rnacentral:rRNA from 1 species
UACGUAGGGGGCUAGCGUUGUCCGGAUUUAUUGGGCGUAAAGAGCGUGUAGGCGGCCAGGUAGGUCUGCUGUGAAAACUCGAGGCUCAACCUCGAGACGUCGGCGGAAACCAUCUGGCUAGAGUCCGGAAGAGGAGAGUGGAAUUCCUGGUGUAGCGGUGAAAUGCGCAGAUAUCAGGAAGAACACCUGUGGCGAAAGCGGCUCACUGGACCACAACUGACGCUGAGGCGCGAAAGCUAGGGGGAGCAAACAGG